GUCAGUUGCUGAAGACAGCAGGUACUCCCCUUUAUUCUGUUGUUUCAUACCCUUUCUCCUCCUGCCAAACAUGCUGUGGGGUUCCUGGUAUCCUGGUUACCUCUGAGUGGAGGGAGAGCUGCUGGAUAGAAUAGAAAGUUGCCUGUAGUUUCCUUCUGGGACUGUAAGGCAGGCACAGGUUAGGGAGUGGCUUUGUGAUUUGCAGAGGUCUCUCUCUGCUGGGUCACAUUAUUGUAGUGGAGCUGAGAAGCCAGCACAGCUUUGGAUAUGUGGCAAUGUGUCCUAGAAAUUGGGCUGGCCAAACACUGCAGCACAGGCAAGUCCAAAUCCUGUGCUGGAGACUAAAAAUUAUCCCUGUGACCAAAGGCAGAGGGUCAAAACAUGAGGUAAAUGCUGUGUUACUUUCAAGUUCAUAGAAUGGUUUAGCAAAACUGCAAAAAUACAUCAACUGAGACAGCAAGCAGACCAUUUGAGGCUUGUUUCAGAUAUUUGCUUCCAGACAAGGAUUAUACCAUCUCCAGUUCUCCCUGCCAGUAAAAAUGGCAGUGUCCAAAGGAAACUUCCAUGGUCAGAAAUCCUGAGCUGCUAAGCACAGCAUUUCAAAGGGCAGAACUUCUGAAAUCAAAAGGAAAUGAGAGUCUGUUCUGAGAGCCAAAGGGAGAAAUGUUUUGUUUAAGCAUAAGAGACUGAGCCAGAUAUGACUCCUCUGCAUAUAAACAGCAAGAAGCUGCUUGGGACCUCUUAACUUGGCUUUGCUUGAGAGGAGCAGAGAGACUGAAGGGAAGAAGAAAGGAAGUAGGAAAACUUCAUCAUCCUGCAAUGGACUUUCUGGAGGAUCUUUCUUUCAGCAGCAAUUCACAGUGGACCUCAUCCUACCAAGCAAAAUUAGCUUUGUUAAUGCUGCUCCAAACUUGUCUCCUCUCGAAGUUGCUUUGUCUGUAAGCACCUCUCUGGCACAAAGGUGGUCUGGAACCUGCAGUCUUCAAGGCAGGGUUUGAGCUACAGCAGAGCAUGAGAUCAAGCCACAUCCAGCAGGGAUGGUAGAGAUGAGCAGUGCUCCUGCACUGCUCACAGCCACUGAUGCUGUUUGCACUGCCCAGCUGCAGGGAUGUGCAGUGACAGCAGGAAGAGUGCCACUCCUAGGAAGAGUUUCUGCUUUCUCCCAUUUGUGUCAGCUGGUUCUGUGCCUAGAAAAGCUGCUGCUUGUGCUCCACCACCUCAUCCCAAACCACAACUACAGUUCAACCUCCAGCAAGCAAUGCUGUACUGCAUCACAGUUUUUCUUCAGGUAAAGUGUGAAACUGCAAAUAUACUAAUGAGCACAAUUCCACACAGCAUUCUUGCACCACAGAGAUAGAUGAAAUUUUUACCAACAGACAGAACAGUCAAAGCUUGAAAAUACUAGAGCAAUAAUUUCUAGUUAGUAAGUCCAUUUUUAUAUUGAGUAACGUGAGAACAAAAGGCACAGGGGAACAGACGUUUUGGAAAAUUUAGCUUAAUACUAAAUUAUGUAUUUCAUAUUGUUUUAAAAAAACCCAACAUAAGCAGUGCCUAAGUGUGAUUAGAUGAAAUCUAAAACAUCUGCAAGAACUCCUAAAAAAACUAUGGAAAGUGGGAAGAAUUCAACAAAUGCUGGGAAACAAAGGAACAAGGAGCUGGGUUGAAUUUGUGUGCCUGCUUUAAUAUGCCAAGCUCUCCCCCGUAUUGCUUCCACUAUUGCUACACAGAAAUUGUACUUUCACCCUUUCACUGUGUAAAGCUUCCACUAACAUUGAGAGUUUACAGUCCUCAAGCCUGACAGCAGAAUUUCUUCUACCACUGAGCUAUAUGGUUCUUGGCAAUUUUCCUAUUUUCUCUCAGUGAAUAUAGAUAAUGGAAUUAAUUUUUCUCUUCAGAGAGAGGUAAUUAAGGUUUGACUUGAGCAAAGAGUUAAUUUGGCAUAACCUCUGAACUAUUUUAAGCAAAAAGGAUAACAUAACAGUUUGAAAAAUGGGAUAACCUUCAAUGCUAAUUUUGCCUCUUGUUAGAUUAUCUUUUAACCUAUUUUGCUUCCUCUUUAUUUCUAUCUCUAAAGACAUUUGGAUGAGCCAGACCAAGCAGUGAACAUUACGCUCUUUAAACAUACCUUGUGUCGUAGUUUGAAGAGAAAUAGUUUUUUUGAAAUAGUGUAGUCACGCCAAUCAGUGUCCAGAUUUUAAUAUUAGCACCUGGUUUGUCCAUUGAAGGCACAGAUACGCCUCAGAGAACACAGGGAGUUCAAAGCUGUGAACUCCCACUAGAAGUCCCUUUUGAGUUCCGGUCCUAGACCAGAGGAGACCUCUCCUGUCCAGCUCCGAGCUGGGAGGGGGGGGGGGGAGGGGAGCCAUGUGGCCGGAGGGAGGUAGGCCAGGCCUGGGCCGAAAAGUAGAAGAAGAGCACUGCACUGCAAGGGCUUUGGGCAGCCAUCUCCCCAUUCCCCCCCACCCCCUCCCCGAGGAAGAGAGAGAAAGCAGACUGUGCUUGUGAUAGCGCGGCUGGAGUGAAGGAGAAGGGGGGGUGCCCAGCAGGGCAGCCAGCCGUGAGAGUUUGUGAACCAAACCGGCAGAGCCUGAGACUUUUAACCCUUCUUAAGACAAUAAAAACCUUGCAAAUGCUGAUUCCUCCUAGAGUUAGUGAAAUUGAGAAAAGUUGAAAAAAAUUCUAAGUAAGAAGAAAUGAUAGAGUAGCUUUUAGCUAGACUUUUCUUAGAUAGCUAUAGACAGAACCCUUGAGUUCCUGUGACACAGAGACUGCAUUCUAAGGGGAGGCAAGGGCUCAGAGCCAAGAAAGUGCAGUGAUGUGAAGGUGUGUGAACAGAGACGAAGAGUAGAAGAAGGUGGUGGUAGCACCCUCCAUCUUCAAAGAAAAAAAGAUAAUCUCUGUUCAAAAAACCCCUCAGCCCCAGGGGGUGAAACAUAGAGCAAAGAAGUGUCCCAAAAAGAAAAAGACUGUGCUCUUUUUUAGAACUAAACAAAGCAUCCUUAAAGAGAAAAAACCCUAGAAGCAACUCUAGUCCAUGUGCAGUGGUGAGAGCACUGGACAUAGAAAGAAGUCACAAUAACAAAACGUUCUCCAGGCGGUGCCACACGUGACACAGAAACACGAAGUUUCGACUGUUUCCUGAGUGAAAUCUGUAGUGCAAGAAGAACUCCACUCUUCUCAAAAAAUUAAAAAUUGAUUAUCCAAAAAGUAGUAACAGAAUUUAAAAAAUUGAUGGGGGGAGGAGGAGGAAAUUUAGAAAGUUUUCAUCCUGUGUUCUGAUUUUUUUUUUCCCCUGUAGUUUUAUGUUAAUAAAGUUUU